rnacentral:rRNA from 1 species
UGGGGAAUAUUGCACAAUGGGCGCAAGCCUGAUGCAGCCAUGCCGCGUGUGUGAAGAAGGCCUUCGGGUUGUAAAGCACUUUCAGCGAGGAGGAAGGUGGUGAACUUAAUACGUUCAUCAAUUGACGUUACUCGCAGAAGAAGCACCGGCUAACUCCGUGCCAGCAGCCGCGGUAAUACGGAGGGUGCAAGCGUUAAUCGGAAUUACUGGGCGUAAAGCGCACGCAGGCGGUUUGUUAAGUCAGAUGUGAAAUCCCCGGGCUCAGCCUGGGAACUGCAUUUGAAACUGGCAAGCUAGAGUCUCGUAGAGGGGGGUAGAAUUCCAGGUGUAGCGGUGAAAUGCGUAGAGAUCUGGAGGAAUACCGGUGGCGAAGGCGGCCCCCUGGACGAAGACUGACGCUCAGGUGCGAAAGCGUGGGGAGCAAAACAGGAUUAGAUACCCUGGUAGUCCACGCUGUAAACGAUGUCGAUUUGGAGGUUGUGCCCUUGAGGCGUGGCUUCCGGAGCUAACGCGUUAAAUCGACCGCCUGGGGAGUACGGCCGCAAGGUUAAAACUCAAAGGAAUUGACGGGGUCAUAGCUGUUUCCUG